ensembl:lncRNA LINC02669 long intergenic non-protein coding RNA 2669
GUUAUACUUGGAGGCCAUGUCACCUGAGAGUCAAUGGGCAACGAUCAAAUUUCACCUUGAGCAGAUUCUUUUGUUUGCUUUUUAGUCACAAAUAGCUUGGCCCUAAGUGGUGGCUCCCAUUCUUGUAAGAUGCGUUUAUUCAUCGUGUAAUCACCAGUUCCCUGUAGUGGGGGCGUGGAUGGAGUGUCAGAGGCUCCUGCUGGUCUUUAGGGUGUCUGGCCUCCAGGAAUCCUAGAGGUAGUAUUUGGAGAGAUUUUUAAAAGCUUUGUUUCUGUGACCAGCAAAACCUGGAUUUGACACUGAGGUCAGCCCGUUUCAGCCAGUGACGUAACCUGUCUUUUUGCCCCAGUAAAUUGGGAACUACAGCACUCGAUGUUAGAGUUGUCGUGAAGAUUAAAGAAGGUGACGACUGGACAACUCCCAGCCCAAUACCUGAAACUGUACCAGCACCCAGUGAGCACUGCUAUUCCUGUGACUGCUGCACAUUUGCCUUAUCUCAGCAGUAUGCCUGUGUCACUUUUUUGGCACUCUUUUCUCAUGGGUACAUUCAGAGAAGAGGAAUGUUUGUUCACUGGUGAAGAGAACAUCCCGUGUACUAUCGUGUAGAAGUUGUAGUAGACGCUGUGGUCUUUCCAACAACAAACAAAAAAAAGGAAAAAAAAAGUGAAUUUCUUGCCCAGAUCUGCAACAACUUCUAAGAUCUGACCUGUAGCCACCCACACCUGGAAGCUCCAGCCUUGCCUCUCCCCAGUUCACCCAGUAAGCGCUGGACACGGGGCUGAGCUGGGACUUCGAUGCUUACUCUGCCUGGAAACCUCCUUUCUCUCUCCCCACUUCUGAGGCUCCGCUCAGGUGCUGUUUUACCUGAAACCCUCCAGGCUGUUCUCUCUGGAAAUGCCUCUCUCUUCUGCCCUUUAUCUUCCACCUGAAUGGGAGGAUGUCUCAUUCCUAACACUCAGGACAGGUCUUCAUAGCGUUUAUCCUGCUUUGUCAUCUGCAUGCCCCACAGGGCUGAGAGCUCCAAGGAGCUGUGAAUCACACCUCCGACUCCCCCCAGGGUACAGGAACGGGGUUCAGAAUGCUCUUCCCAAAGGUGAGAUACAACAUGAAGAGUGGUUAUUUCUGGGUUAUGGGAUGAAGAGUAAUUUUUUUGUUUUCUUUAUUAGACGUUACUAAAUGAACCUGCUUGGUGUUAACCACAUGUGGCUUUUAUAAUCAGAGAAAUAAAACAAAACUGACAGUAAAAAUACAUAGAAGAAGGAUUAUGUAAAAUUUAUAAUUAAAAAUUUGUUGAUUUUAAA